GGGGGUAGCUCAUAGGUGACGCGGGGCCCUCACGUGACCUGGAGCUGCAGAGCGACGCAGACUUCGGUGCAGUCGUCACUCCCACCUGGGUACCAGCUCCCCGCUGCCCUGCGCCGGACUGGCUGGCACUGGGCCCAAGGAAAGCGGAGCAGGUCUGAGGGUCUAGGUGUCAAGUGUCGCGGCGGCGCACGCACGGCGAGAAUCGGGUGAAAGAGGAGACUGCAAGGAUAGGCCCAGAAAAACAACCAGGAAAAAA
rnacentral:lncRNA from 1 species